UUAAAAUAAAUAAAAAUGUCAAUCAGGUGCCGAAAAUUGAUGAACAUGAUAGGGUGUUCAGUAGGGGAGACCUAAAUACAUUUAAUUGGGAUCUCAUUCAACCACCCAACGAGAGCAUCGGAACGACUAAGGGCAUAAUAUGGUAAAAGGGAACUAAGAAGAGCAGCGUUCUCAAAGCCGGAACGACGCCAAAGCCCAACGAACGACGUGCGUGCUCCGAUGUGCACGCAAUGGUGGGGGCAAAUCGUUCCAGCAUCGAGACGCUGCAAAUCUAAACGAUCCUCGAAAUGCCGCUGUACGAUGUCUCGGAGUGAGGAAGACGUCUCAAUUAGUCAUAUUGACGAUGAACCAAACACCCGCUCAAGAUCUCCUAGCGACCGGAGUUGAAACACUUGCGCACCGUCGCUCUUGCGAGCGAAUAUGCGCCCACGCCUUGUCCAAGAGUACCUCCACUGCAACCUGCGGCAUUCCUCGCGCACCCGGUGGAAUAGCUGACGGUUGGAGCGCGUCAGGCGCUCGUUGAUGAACACACGCGCGCCACCCUCGCCAG